rnacentral:rRNA from 1 species
CCUGCCGGAGGCUAUUGCUAUCGGAAUCCGCUUUAGCCAUGCGAGUCGCACGGGUUUAGACCCGUGGCAAACUGCUCAGUAACACGUGGCCAAACUACCCUAUAGAUUCGGAUAACCUCGGGAAACUGAGGAUAAUCCGAAAUAGCGCUCUACUGCUGGAAUGCUAUGAGCGUGAAACGCUCCGGCGCUGUAGGAUGUGGCUGCGGCCGAUUAGGUAGACGGUGGGGUAACGGCCCACCGUGCCCAUAAUCGGUACGGGUCAUGAGAGUGAGAACCCGGAGACGGUCUCUGAGACACGAGUCCGGGCCCUACGGGGCGCAGCAGGCGCGAAACCUUUACACUG